rnacentral:rRNA from 1 species
UAAUGUAUCGGGACGUGCCCAGUCGUGGGGGAUAACUGCUCGAAAGAGCAGCUAAUACCGCAUACGACCUGAGGGUGAAAGCGGGGGAUCGCAAGACCUCGCGCGAUUGGAGCGGCCGAUAUCAGAUUAGGUAGUUGGUGAGGUAAAGGCUCACCAAGCCGACGAUCUGUAGCUGGUCUGAGAGGACGACCAGCCACACUGGGACUGAGACACGGCCCAG